CUGGAGGUUAAAUUUUGUACAUGGCCAGGUGGUGCUCCUUUGAGGUAGAGAGAGUCUAGUCCUGGAGGGUGGUUGUGAUGUGAAGCUAUUUUUUUUCCUUUUGGCUGUUUUCUCUAGCUGUGUCUGUGUGGGGAGUAGGUGCCGUUGCCUUGUCUCAGAGGGUGCUGACACUGCUGAAUUUUGCUCAUGGGUGACUUGUCACAGAUCCUUUACAAGAAGAAUAUAUAAAUAAGCUCUGAUUUCACAAGCUACAAAUGAGGCUCAGUGCUGACCAAGCCGUGCUGAAACAAGAACAAGGGGAGAACCAGUGCUAGGAUCAGCAAGUUGCCAGUCUGGCAGCUGAGUUUAUGGCUCUGCAGAAAAGGGGGCACCCAGCAGCAAGGAAAGGAAGUGGAUCCUGAGAAAUCCAUCUGAGCCUUGUCCUGGAGCCUGUGGGUGUUGAUGAGUUUUGGCUCAGGAGAUGAGGAUCCAGCUCCCCAGGGGAUGUUUGUUAACACAGCAAAAAAAGAGCUGCAAGAAAGACAUGGUGUGCAGAGAGAAGGGCUCUGGGGCUCUUAGGUAAUAUCUGUUUAAGGCAAAAUAAAUAAGACUUGUAGGAGACUUGAAAAACUGCACUGACAAGUUUUGCCAGUGAUUAGAGAAUUUUUAGCUAAAUUAUACUGUGAAGAGUAAGUUCAUAAAAAGAGGAAGUGAGAUUUGCCCAGAUGCUCUCAAAAGUUAACUUUGAGUCUUCUAAUUGCAUCUUGAUUCAGUAAGUGAUAUAACCCCAUGCUUGAGAUUCUCUGAAAAUAAUAUUUUCAACUCUGAGAAGCAAGAGAUUGCCAAAAUAAUUAAAUCUAAAUGAUGUUUUAAUGAAUAUAUAAUGGAAUCAGGGAAAAUAAUUUUAUGAAGCAGUGUUUAGAGCAGAACUGCCCAAACAAUCCAGCAAUGACUUAAAAAGCAAGGAUAAGAAUGUUCUAAGUCAGCAUAGCAGAAGUUAGACUAUUUUUGAAUUAGGAUAAAGACUGUUCUCAUGGGUAAAGGAUUGUGCUAGGUCAGAGUACUGUGCAGUGUGUGGUGAAAUACCCCAAAGAUGCUCUGAUAUCAUGGUGUGCUCCAUCACCUGGGUCAGUUUUUGGCCAAAAAUGUGUUGUAGGCAUCACAGUAGGUGCAUAUAUCUUGAUGUAUGGCAAGCAAGCCCAUCAGCUCUCUGGAAUGGAUUUCUUCUUCCUCUACAUUUUGCCUCUGGAGACAACCACAUUUUAUACAGUUCUGGCAAAACCACAAGGCUUCUAAA